rnacentral:rRNA from 1 species
UACAGAGGUCCCAAGCGUUGUUCGGAUUCACUGGGCGUAAAGGGUGCGUAGGUGGUGAGGUAAGUCGGAUGUGAAAUCUCCGAGCUCAACUCGGAAAUGGCAUUGGGAAACUACCUUGCUCGAGGGUUGGAGGGGGGACUGGAAUACUUGGGUGUAGCAGUGAAAUGCGUAGAUAUCAAGUUGGAACACCAGUGGCGAAGGCGAGUCC